GGGUUGUGAGGUUAAGCGACUAAGCGUACACGGUGGAUGCCCUGGCAGUCAGAGGCGAUGAAGGACGUGCUAAUCUGCGAUAAGCGUCGGUAAGGUGAUAUGAACCGUUAUAACCGGCGAUUUCCGAAUGGGGAAACCCAGUGUGUUUCGACACACUAUCAUUAACUGAAUCCAUAGGUUAAUGAGGCGAACCGGGGGAACUGAAACAUCUAAGUACCCCGAGGAAAAGAAAUCAACCGAGAUUCCCCCAGUAGCGGCGAGCGAACGGGGAGGAGCCCAGAGCCUGAAUCAGUAUGUGUGUUAGUGGAAGCGUCUGGAAAGGCGCGCGAUACAGGGUGACAGCCCCGUACACAAAAAUGCACAUGCUGUGAGCUCGAUGAGUAGGACGGGACACGUGGUAUCCUGUCUGAAUAUGGGGGGACCAUCCUCCAAGGCUAAAUACUCCUGACUGACCGAUAGUGAACCAGUACCGUGAGGGAAAGGCGAAAAGAAC
rnacentral:rRNA from 1 species